AUGUGUUUGGUGAGGAUGGUUACUUUUACUGCCAAGAUGAAACCACCCCUCACACACACACACACAGACACACACAGUCUUCAGAGUGAAAUCAGGAAUCCCCCCCACCCCCAUGAAGCUCCCUUCUCCUUCUACCAAUGCCCAGAGACUGACCCGAGGAUACUGUGGACAUAUGCAGAGGACAAACAAACACUGUUAAACACACAAAGAAGCCACCGACAGGUGUUGAUCGAAGGAAAAACGGAUAACCUGAUGAUGACUGACAAAUCCACCGGUUCCAGGAGAGACGCCACCAGGAAAGAAAAAGGAGUGGCUUUUAUUUUUGGGACAUGUCUGCUGGGAGCAGAAGAGCACGACGAGAAGGAAAACAAAAAAAAAAGAGGACAAAAAUACUCCGUUUUUUUCCUCCGCCGAAGGAAUGUAGAAUAUCUGAAAACUUCAUGAGACCGAGGCCGCAGUCAUCCGUCAGCACUCCAUCAAUGUGUUGCAUGAUCCUCUGCAAGUGGACUGUUCUCCUUUGAUACGAUCAUCCUUGUAUCAGUGCACCGUUUGGAUUUAUCCUUUUUUUUUUUUUGCAAACACUAAAAUUGUGGGACAGCGAUUCUGUCUUUGAAAACUGCUUUUAUGACUCAAAAUUUUGUACAGGUUUUCAUGGCUGCAUUUCAACAUGUUUACUUUUUUUGUGCCUCUUCACCUUUUGGAUAAGCCAAAGUAGACUGCAGUUACUUUCGUUGGUUUUGUUGGACUUUUUUGUUGAAAUAUAUUCAUUUUUUUUUUUAUUUGAUCUCAAAACAGUAUUUAAGUCUCGGCAGUCCGUCCACUUUGCUGCACUCGAUCGAUCCACUUUUGUGGAUACGUUAUUCGCAGCUAAAUGUUUUAAAAAAGACUUUGUGUUGGCUUCCUCCUGGACUCUUUUGCUUUAUGAAAGGCUGAAUAAUGUACCAAAAGUAUAGUUUCAGUUUUUUCAGCCCCUGAAACAGCUGCUAAUUUAAGGCAACUCAAAGAUAAAUGUGCUCGUGUUACAGCACUGAAUUUACAGAUUUCGCAAGUCCCAGUUUCUCCUUUUGCAACUAACUUUAUCUUUAUAAAGAACUUCCAACAUGAGGAAAUACUCAAGCUUAUCAAACAGUUUGUGUGGAAUUCCUUACAACAAACAUUUCUCUUUUUUCAGUUAAUGCUUUAAGUUCUGCUGUUUUGUGCAUGUUAUUUGUAAAGUUUUGUUGUUACCCUGAUUUAAUACUGGCCUUUUUUUCCCUUGUCUGGUAUAGGUCUAAAAUGUUUGUGUUUUAAGAUGUUAAGUAACUUAUUUUACUUGUAAAAACAUGUUGAUAUUUAUUAUCAUUGUACAUACGUCCUUAUUUUUUAUAUGUGUAUAUAUAUACACAAAUAAAAAUAGAGAUCUAUUUGUGGCGUGACA
rnacentral:lncRNA from 1 species